ensembl:snRNA U6 U6 spliceosomal RNA
GUACUUGUUACAGCAGCACAUAGACUAAUACUGGAAUGAUGCAGAGAUUAGCCUGACCCUUGUACAAGGAUGACAUGCAAAUUCAUGAAGUCUUCCUUUUUUUU